rnacentral:lncRNA from 1 species
AAGAAAAUAUAAAAUAUAUAAAUAAAUCUACCUCAUUCUACUAGCUUUCAACAUGGUAUCAAAGAAGAGGUCUUGAGUUCGAAUCCUGUCUCCGCACUCUUUAGCCCUAUUAUUAAAAAUUUUAUAUGUUGGGCUCACCCUUUAAAGAAAAGUCCGACCCACAUGUGAGAGAGAGUGUAAGAAAAUAUAAAAUAUAUAAAUAAAUCUACCUCAUCCUAUUAGCUUAAGCUUUUAGGACAAGUGGUGAUUUCAAUAAUAAGAGACCUGGAAUUUAUUACCUUCAAGCUUAAUUGCACACCGGAAUUGAACUCAUAGGAAGUGGGUGUGCAACAAGAAUAGCAAUAUUUUCUACAGUUUGAUAAUAUGUUCAUCAUUACUCUGGAUGUACCGCAUGUUCUCAUGAAAGACGACAACUAAUGUAUGUCUAUCUUAACAUUAUUAGACAUAUGUCGCACUUUUCUAUGUGAAAUUAUCAUAUUCGAUGAACUGCUAUAUCUAAUAUUAUUAGACAUGUGUCACAC